CUUAAGCAUAUCAAUAAGCGGAGGAAAAGAAACCAACAGGGAUUGCCUCAGUAACGGCGAGUGAAGCGGCAACAGCUCAAAUUUGAAAUCUGGCCUCACGGCCCGAGUUGUAAUUUGUAGAGGAUGCUUCGAGCAUGGUCUGGCCUAAGUUUCCUUGGAACAGGACGUCAUAGAGGGUGAGAAUCCCGUAUGCGGCCAGGUGCCUACGCUCAUGUGAAGCUCCUUCGACGAGUCGAGUUGUUUGGGAAUGCAGCUCAAAAUGGGUGGUAAAUUUCAUCUAAAGCUAAAUAUUGGCCAGAGACCGAUAGCGCACAAGUAGAGUGAUCGAAAGAUGAAAAGCACUUUGGAAAGAGAGUUAAACAGUACGUGAAAUUGUUGAAAGGGAAGCGCUUGCAACCAGACUUGCGUGCGGCCGAUCAUCCGGUGUUCUCACCGGUGCACUCGGUCGCGCUCAGGCCAGCAUCGGUUUUGGUGGUUGGAUAAAGGCCCUAGGAAUGUAGCUUCUCUCGGGGAGUGUUAUAGCCUAGGGUGCAAUGCAGCCCACCGGGACCGAGGACCGCGCUUCGGCUAGGAUGCUGGCGUAAUGGUUGUAAGCGACCCGUCUUGAAACACGGACCAAGGAGUCUAACAUCUAUGCGAGUGUUUGGGUGUCAAACCCAUACGCGUAAUGAAAGUGAACGGAGGUGAGAACCCUUAAGGGUGCAUCAUCGACCGAUCCUGAUGUCUUCGGAUGGAUUUGAGUAAGAGCAUAGCUGUUGGGACCCGAAAGAUGGUGAACUAUGCCUGAAUAGGGUGAAGCCAGAGGAAACUCUGGUGGAGGCUCGCAGCGGUUCUGACGUGCAAAUCGAUCGUCAAAUUUGGGCAUAGGGCGAAAGACUAAUCGAACCAUCUAGUA
rnacentral:rRNA from 1 species